GACGAACGCUGGCGGCGUGCUUAACACAUGCAAGUCGAGCGGUAAGGCCUCUUCGGGGGUCCACGAGCGGCGAACGUGUCAGUAACACGUUCGUCACCUUCCCUCAGCUCUGGGAUAAGCCUGGUAAACUGGGUCUAAUAUCGUAUAUGACCUCUCCUCGCUGGGGUUUUUAUGGAAACUUUUGUAGGCUGUGGAUGGGCCGGCGGUCUAUCAGCUUGUUGGUGGGGUGAUGGCCUACCCAGGUGACGACGGGUAGCCGGACUGGGAGGUCGACCGGCCGAGCAGGGACUGAGAGGCGGCACCGACUAGUACGGGAGGAAGCAGGGGGGAAUAUUGAGCCAUGGGCGGAAGACUGACGCAGCCACGCUGAGUGGGUGAUGACGGCCUUUGGGAUGUAAGCCUAUGUCGUACCCGACGAAUUUGGACGGUAGGGGUAGAAGAAGCACCGGCUAACUACGUG
rnacentral:rRNA from 1 species